GGUGGUAUGAGAUGGAUCCGCGUCUGAUUAGCCAGUUGGUCAAGGUAACGGCCCACCAAAGCGACGAUCAGUAGCCGACCUGAGAGGGUGACCGGCCACAUUGGGACUGAGACACGGCCCAAACUCCUACGGGAGGCAGCAGUGGGGAACAUUGCACAAUGGGCGCAAGCCUGAUGCAGCGACGCCGCGUGAGUGAAGAAGUAUUUCGGUAUGUAAAGCUCUAUCAGCAGGGAAGAAAAUGACGGUACCUGACUAAGAAGCACCGGCUAAAUACGUGCCAGCAGCCGCGGUAAUACGUAGGGGGCAAGCGUUAUCCGGAUUUACUGGGUGUAAAGGGAGCGUAGACGGAUACGCAAGUCUGAGAGUGAAAAGCCCGGGGCUCAACCCCGGGACUGCUUUGGAAACUGUUCAUCUGGAGUGCUGGAGAGGUAAGUGGAAUUCCUAGUGUAGCGGUGAAAUGCGUAGAUAUUAGGAGGAACACCAGUGGCGAAGGCGGCUUACUGGACAGUAACUGACGUUGAGGC
rnacentral:rRNA from 1 species